rnacentral:rRNA from 1 species
ACUCCUACGGGAGGCAGCAGUGGGGAAUAUUGCACAAUGGGCGCAAGCCUGAUGCAGCCAUGCCGCGUGUAUGAAGAAGGCCUUCGGGUUGUAAAGUACUUUCAGCAGUGGAGGAAGGGUGGGUAUGUUAAUAGCAUACUCAUUUGACGUUAGCUGCAGAAGAAGCACCGGCUAACUCCGUGCCAGCAGCCGCGGUAAUACGGAGGGUGCGAGCGUUAAUCGGAAUUACUGGGCGUAAAGCGCAUGCAGGUGGUUUGUUAAGUCAGAUGUGAAAGCCC